ensembl:snoRNA snoRNA:Psi18S-640f snoRNA:Psi18S-640f
GUGGAGACAAAGUUUACAUUUUAACAGUAUUAUCGUUUUUAUGUCUACAAUGCUCCGAAAUCAAUAUCCGAUCCAAUUAUCCAAAGCAGUCUUAUAUUUCCUUGGAUGAUUUCUUUCGUUACAAAA